rnacentral:snRNA from 1 species
UGAAUGGAUUAACGAGAUUCCC